CACGUUAUUAACGUCAGCAGUUCCACAGCCGAAUUCUAUUGACCAGUUUUGGGAGUUUGUAAACAAGAACGGAGUAGAAAAUAUUAUCCUCCUUACUAAAGAAAACCAACAGGUUUCAGAAUUUUACCCAGGUAGUCAUAAACCAAUAGAAAUGAACCAGUUUAUACUUGAACUCGAUUCAUCGGAAAAGAAAAAUCAGAAUUUAUUUGUGUUUCAUUUGCAGCUGACAAAUAAGAAAACAAAAUCAAGUACUUCUGUCAAAAUUUACGAAACAACGAAUUGGAAAGAAGAAGAUAAGCAUUUACCAUUGGAAGUCUUAUCACAGCUGCUUGAUGUGACCAGAUUGUCGAAGUCUAAAUCAUCACUCUUAAU